UGACUGCGUACCUUUUGUAUAAUGGGUCAGCGACUUAUAUUCUGUAGCAAGGUUAACCGAAUAGGGGAGCCGGAGGGAAACCGAGUCUUAAUUGGGCGUUAAGUUGCAGGGUAUAGACCCGAAACCCGGUGAUCUAGCCAUGGGCAGGUUGAAGGUUGGGUAACACUAACUGGAGGACCGAACCGACUAAUGUUGAAAAAUUAGCGGAUGACCUGUGGCUGGGGGUGAAAGGCCAAUCAAACCGGGAGAUAGCUGGUUCUCCCCGAAAGCUAUUUAGGUAGCGCCUCGUGAAUUCAUCUCCGGGGGUAGAGCACUGUUUCGGCUAGGGGGCCAUCCCGGCUUACCAACCCGAUGCAAACUGCGAAUACCGGAGAAUGUUAUCACGGGAGACACACGGCGGGUGCUAACGUCCGUCGUGAAGAGGGAAACAACCCAGACCGCCAGCUAAGGUCCCAAAGUCAUGGUUAAGUGGGAAACGAUGUGGGAAGGCCCAGACAGCCAGGAUGUUGGCUUAGAAGCAGCCAUCAUUUAAAGAAAGCGUAAUAGCUCACUGGUCGAGUCGGCCUGCGCGGAAGAUGUAACGGGGCUAAACCAUGCAC
rnacentral:rRNA from 1 species